rnacentral:tmRNA from 1 species
GGGCUUGUACUGGUUUCGACGGGGGUUUUGAAGUUUGGGAAGCCAUCCGCAGCUCCGGGACUGCGUAUCAACCUGGAAAUUAAAUUUAAACGCAGACGAAAAUUACGCGUUAGCAGCCUAGUUGCUGCUUGUCCGGCCUAAGUCUCCUGCAGCUUGGGUUCGGGCAUCAAAAUCCGCAGGGCACUUUGCCUUCUAAGCUUUGCGAGGGUAAAAGAUUUUAUGAAGCUACUAAAGCCGGCAGCCUGUCAUUAGGCGGCUGACGGAGGGAAUGCCAGUAUAAUGACUGUGAUGGGAGAUGCCUGAAUGGAUAGGCUUUCGGACGCGGGUUCGAUUCCCGCCAGGUCCAUCU